AAUCCGCCGGAAGGAGGGCGCAGCAUUGCCGGUCUUCUCAUUGCCUGGCUGCUAGAGGAAACCCGAAGUCGGGAUUCUUUCUUUCCUGCUCUGAGAGGGACCAGGUCCCUCCUCCGUAGCUUUUGUCUCUCUAUUGCCUGCGCCGUGUCCUGGACUGCUCACGGGAGUUCUGCAGGAGACGCCGGAAUAUCUGGAAGCUGAAAAAUGGAAAUAAAUGGAAAGACCAGAAUAUUGAAGAUCACUACAGAAAUCUAAGAGGCCAGGUUCCUGAAGGUUUCUUGCAUCACAUCUCUACAGAGAUUUUUCUGGGAAGGAUCCAGCAAAGCCCACUCCUCUUGGGUGAAGGUCACAGCCACAUCCUCAAAGGCCACUGAAUCCUGAAACAUCUCACAUGUAUAGAGGAGGAUGGAUAAGACUAACAUCACUGGGAAGCCUAUACUCUAUUCCCAAGAGGUUUCCAUGAUGCUGUGGACUCAAAACAAUUAUUCCAUGACCAUCAGACCUCAUACUCUCUGUCUACACUCAGUUUCUUCCAUAAAGUAAUUCUGAGGCUACAACUGAACCAUGUGGUAAAGCAACAGUAGAAUAGGAAAAUGUGUAUUUUUGGUAAAUCCAGAAAGGUGUGCUGCCUGGGCUGCCCCUAAUGUUUGUUUGUAAAGUGGGAGUACGGCACCUGCCAUAACAAAGUCUUCCAAAUUCCUGUGCAGAAAAAGUUAACAUUAGCAGUCCUGAGGCUGCAUAUCCUUGAAAAAAAAAUGCCUAUCGACAAAGUUUAACCUUUGAUGUUAUCUAGAAAAUGAAUUUUGUUCUGAGUGCUGCAGCAGAAACAAAAACCAAAAAACUGGAUUUUACAAGGGGUCUUAUCAAUCUAAAUGAUGAGUCAUAAAUAACUAAAACAAAAACUCAUGAGCUCUACACUCAUGAGCUCAUGCCACUGCACUGCAGCCUGGGCAACAGAGUGAGACUCGGUCUCAAAAAAAUAAAAUUAGCCAGGUAUGGUGGUGCGUGCCUGUAAUCCCAGCUACCCAGGAGGCUGAGGCAGGAGAAUCGCGGGAAUCCAAGAGGCAGAGGCUGCAGUGAGCCAAGAUCACACCACCACACUCCAGCCUGAGUGACAGAGCAAGACUCCAUCUUAAUAAAAAAAAAAAAAAAAAAAAAAAAAUUUCCAGGCACCUAGUCUCAACAAAAAGGCAAACAUUUAUCAAACUUUUAAAAACUUUUGUGGCCAGGCAUGGUGGCUCAUGCCUGUAACCCCACCACUUUGGAAGGCUGAGGCAGGUGGAUCACCUGAGGCCAGGAGUUGGUGACCAGCCUGGCCAACAUGGUGAAACACCGUCUCUACUAAAAAUACAAAAAUAAGCCAGGCAUGGUGGUAUGCACCUGCAAUUCCACUACUUGGGAGGCUGGGGCAGGAGAAUCACUUGAACCCAGAAGUUGGAGGUUGCAGUGAGCUGAGAUCAUGCCACUGCACUCCAGCUUGGGCAACAGCAAGACUCCAUCACAAAAAAACCACUUUUGUGCAUGAGAUGACACCAUCAACAAAGGGAAAAGGGACUCCUUGUGCUCUGUUUAAAGGAUAAUAAAUGGCUCAGCUUCUAUGGAAACAGUACAGUAGUGCCUAAAAAAAUAAAAUUACUGUAUUUUCCUGUAUCCCACUUUUGGGUCUAGUUAUAUUAAAUUUGAAAAAAUUGAAAACUGAACCUUGAAGACAUAUUUGAAAACCACUCUUCACAAAAUCAAAGAGCCAGAUCAAUCCACAUGUCCA
rnacentral:lncRNA from 1 species